GCAGGCUGCAACUCGCCUGCAUGAAGCUGGAAUUGCUAGUAAUCGCGGAUCAGCAUGCCGCGGUGAAUACGUUCCCGGGCCUUGUACACACCGCCGUCACACCAUGAGAGUCGGGAACACCCGAAGUCCGUAGUCUAACCGCAAGGAGGGCGCGGCCGAAGGUGGGUCCGGUAAUUGGGGUGAAGUCGUAACAAGGUAUC
rnacentral:rRNA from 1 species